GCAAAAUCAGUGAAAACUUUGCGCUCAAAUGAAACAGUUGUUAUUUGUUUUGAAGUUACAACGAGCAUAAUUUUAAUUUCAGGCAUUCAUACAUAUGUAUAUGCAUACAGAUGUAUGACUGGGUUGAAAUGACAUUCAGACGUUCGAAAAUCGUCGAAUUCAUCACUUGAUGAAUGAAAUCUGCUGAUAAGUUGGUAGAGUUUUCUUAACUGUGACAUUAUUAAUAAAUUGAGUAGUGCAAAAACUAUACACAAAACACAAUUAAACUAAAAAACAUAUUUUAGAAAAAAAGUGUCAUUCAAAUUAUUUGUGUAAAUAUAUAUACAUAAGUUAAAGAGUGCUACUCCAAACAACAAAACUGAACAUAUAUCUAAAUAAAAAAAAAUAAAACAAAGCCUUAAUCGAAACACUUGAAUCGUUCAAAGGUUAACAUUUUGUGAUCGACAGCGUAAUGGCGAUAAUAUAAGCAGCUCAUACAAACAGUGCACGAUUGGGUCGAGUAUAAAUGUACAUUUAAGUGCGGAUGUAUGGGUAUAAUACAUGUCCGUCUUAGUAAUCAAGUGAAGCAAUAUAUAUAAAACAUUAAAAAUACUUAAAAGCACUUUUCUUACAUCUUUUUAAUGUUUUAAAACUACUAGUAAAGUUUUCUCUGUUUGCCGGUUUUUAAACAACAGCAACAAAAAUUCAUUAAACACAUAUUUAUAUUAUAAAUUUACUAAAAACAAUAACUUUAGAAGAAAAGCAUUAGAUGUCGAGACAUAUCGUGCAAACAGUGAUCAUUGAAAAUUAUUUUUUCAUUAUUCUUCUUUCUCUAAAUAAACUCUACUUAAAGCGAGCUCCAGCUAGGUAGACAUUUGUUAAAUUGUGUAUAAAACCAAUUUAAGAACUGCAAGUAUGACAAUACUGCUAAACGGUUGCAACAAAAUGUAACUUUAAUAAAAAGUCAACAUAUGUACAUAUGUAUGAUAUACUAUAUACUAACGAAUGUAUAAAAUAAAAACAAUGCUAGUUUCGAUUAAUUCAUUUACAUAUGAAUUAGUGACCGCAUAUUAUAUUAAACAAAUGUAACAAUAUAAAAUUUGAAAGCCUAAUGUUUAUUAUAAAUAUACUAAUAUACCUGGUUUAUCUAUUGAAAAAAGUUUUAACUGACUGAAAACACAGACAGCUAUCCUGCGGUAACUUUCCUUGUAUAAUCAAGAAAAAUGUGCAUUUAUUACAAGUUUGGACUGUUUCUGAUAUUUCUGCUCAACAUAAGUACCAUCUUUACAAAAGCUGCUCCUUCAAACGUAAAUCUUACAUCUUCUUAUGACAAAAGCUACUCAGAGAAUUAUGAGGAUUAUUAUGACGAGAAUGAACCGGUUAUGCAAACGAAUUAUAGUGAAGACAUGACUAUGACUACUACUAGAACUGCAUUGAUUAUCUCAACAACAAGUAGGAUCUCGUUAAACAAUUAUACAAAUAACAAUCAGAUAUUGAAGCCCAAAUGUCCCAAUUUUUGCCACUGCUUGGAGAACUUUAAGCGCAUACUGUGCAGUGGCGUGGGGUUGACCGGCGUUCCCAAGAAUCUUCCAACUACAACACUAAUUAUCGAUUUAAGCCAUAAUUAUAUUGCAGAACUACAUGUUGAAGAUUUCGUCAAUAUAUCUAAAGUUCGUGAAAUCAAUUUAAGUGCGAUUACUGUAAUAACAUAUAAUUUUCAGAUAUUUGACAACUUAAUUAAUUUACAACGACUUCGGCUGACGGAUAAUAAAUUAAAAUAUAUUGAGCCAACCACUUUCUCAGGCACAAGUAAUUUAAUUGAUCUGGAUAUCAGUAACAAUUCUUUAUUGUUAAAAAACGAUGGCCCUUUCCUAAUACAACCUGGCUUAAUUAAAUUUGCUUGUCGUAAUUGCAGUUGGACCCAUUUGUAUGAUGAUACGUUCACGGGACUGACCAGUUUACAGUCUUUACAACUGGAUUUAAAUAACUUUGAUAAGAAAAUCAAUGUUGAAGCUUUUUCACCGCUGCAGAAUGUUAUUAAAUUGUGGUUGCCUGAUUUGGAACCAGAGAGUCUGAUAAAACUGUGUAAUUUACUAACAGCUAUUGACAAUAUAAAUUUCGGACACCUUGCUAUCAGUUGCUUUGAGUUAGUACUAGGUACGUCAUUUAAUGAUAGUAUUAUUCUGACAACGGAUCCACCAAUCAUUCAGACUCAAAUAACAUCAGCAUCUAAUAAAGUAUCAGAUAUAGUCACUUCUGGUAAUUCGGCGAAAAAAGAGGAAACACAAGAAAUCAGUACUAAAAGUAAAUCUGCGAACGCGAAUACUACCAUAACAACACCGAAAACAGGGACAUUAAAACCAAAGGUGAUAAAAAUAGAAGAAAAUAAGAUGGAGGAUAUCCGUGCCUCUUCAAAUUUCACAAAUCCUACGACUGCGAGUAGAAUCGAAGAUGAUAUUAAUUACAAGAAAGUGUCUGCAAUACUGACAGGAAACGUCUCCACCAGCUUAGGUGAAGUAGCAAAUAAUAAUGCUGAGCACAUCAAAAUUAAAACUACAGUUAAAGCAAAUAAUAGCCUCACACAACAUAUUUCGCAGGAUACGGUUAAUAUUCUGCUGAUAUGUAUUAUUAUUAUAGCAAUUGUUGGAAUUAUAAUUGGUAUAAUUUGCCGCAAGGAUAUUGGUGGAAUCAAAACAAAAUGUUGUCGCACAAAGAAACCCGUUCCGAAAGAUCAAAUACAUCCUACUGAAGAAAUUCCUCUGAAUAAACUUACAUAAAUACAGGAUCUAAUCAGAAAUAAAUAGUUCAUAAUUUAUCUUUAAGAUAAAAUAGCAGUGUAAUUAGUUUAACAUUGAAUAGUUAUAUACUUCAAAUGCAUUAAGUAUAAAAUAAUACUAAUGUUAACAUAUUUGAAGUGCUCGUUACCGAGAUUAUGUUUAAUAAGGAUAUACGUCUUUACAAGAAAUAUAUAAAGGGCAAUACGAAUCAGACAUCUUGUGGAUAGAAUUACAGAGGCGAGAACAGAAAAUACGCGGUGACGCCGAAUUAUUCUUAAGCAUAAUCUUGUCAUGUUCACACGUGUAUCAUUUUGUUUAGUUUCAUUUUUAAUAAAUCUAUAUGUACAACGACUUCGGUCGCCAUAUAUAUUAUUAUUUACACAAUUUCUCAAUAUACAUUACAAUCUUACCUCCAUAACCAAGUUGACGCAGUCUUGUGAUUCUUUACAAUCCAACAACGCAACGACAUUCUCAUGAUGCAACUCUGUCAAUUCUUUCAAGAUCUUUAUUUCUUUUCCAAGUAAAUUUUGAGUUUUUAUCAAUCCCUUUUUAGUUAUACAUUUUAUAGCUACAGGAAAGUGUUUCUGAAAAAUAAAAGAAAUUACAAACAAAUAAGUAGUAUAUCAAUAACGGUUAUAUGUAAAACUGAAGUAAUUAAAUAUUGUUACUCAAACCCAAGAGAAAAAGUACAAACCUUGCGAUGACGUCCUUUAUAUACCACGGCAAAAGCACCAUGGCCAAGCAUAUCCUUCGAACUAUACUCAUAAUCUCCGACAAUAUUCAUAUUGUUGCAGCGAAAUGGAAUGUAAUUACUAUAAUCUUAUUUACUCUUUAGUACAUCUGUUUGCAAUCGUUACGGAAACAACUGUUUAGAGCGUAUGUCAAUAAUUGCGAAAAAAAUUAGUAUAUUUGUAUAAUAUUGUUAAUCUGUCAAACGGACGUUUCACUUAUUCAACCCCAAAAUUUGAUGAAAUGUUUUGAUAUCUAUCCUUUAAUAACAAUAUUUCUAUUACAUGUACGUUGGAAAAUCAAUUUUUCAUUAUCUUGUUCUAUUGUUUACUGCUUUUAUAUCAAUAGAGGGUUAUAUUUAGUCACUCACAAUACAGAAAAAGUGAAAUCGAAUUCUGCAAUAUUAGGAUUAAAAAUCAAAGCCUAUAUUCUGAAAUAUGUGUAUUCAGGUAAUGAAUGACAUCAAAUUACUUUAAAAUUCAUUAUUAGUUUAUUUCACUAUUUAACAUAUCUGUAUUUUCAAAGCUUGAACAUUCCUGUUAUAAAGAGGCUAAGCAAUAACACAACCCGAAAAUCACUUAAUUUUACAAGAUUAAUUGUUACACAUUGUUUUUUUCUUUCUAUUUUUCACUUUUUACACCAAGUUUGGGUCAACGAGCAAUAAAAACGACCGUCCAAAAUGAUAAGUGCAAAUUUGUUUCGCAGUUGAAUUACAUCCAAAAUGACUGCGUAUAUAUCAGCCAUGUAUGUGUCAAAAUCCUACUGAAAAGCAGCGAAAGCACGAAUUUGACAUUUUGUUUUCUACGAAUAUGUGUUAAAAGAAAUGUUUAGCUGACAGUUAAAAGAAGGAAACAAAGAAAUAAAAUGUACAUCACAAUAUAUAUAUAUAAGUUGGAUUUGGUUCCAUGGCACUGCGCAAUAUAAAUAAAUUAUAGUUUAAUGUUUUUGAUUUAACAAAAAUCAAUAAUCAUUUUUGACAUAAACUACUUUUGUUCACAUUUCGUAAUAACAAUUCACAAUAGUUAUAGAAUACACAUUGGCCAAGAUUAGUAUAACUUUUCUAUACACUUUAUUAUUACACAUAAGAUACCACAAAAGGAAAAAAAAGAAUUGCAACCCUGCAAUUUAUUUUGCCCAAAAUGUUGUAAAAUGAAAAAUGAAAUUGAAUUCGCCUAUUCCUAAACGAGAGUUUCCAUGUCUGAACACAGUCUAGUGGAAAACAUCACCUUUUAGUAAUAUUCUAUAGUACAUAUUUUAUCAGUAGUUUUGGCGAAUAUAUCAAUUGAGUUCAAAUAAUGGAUAUUGAAGAUGUCGUAUUUGAUGCGGAAAAUAAUGCUACGUCUUUGUCUCUUCAAUUCCAAUUAUUGGCAAUUAAAUUUACUCGUGAAAAAGAUCUAAAAGCGCGACACAAACUUUUGGAAAAGUGUAAACAUCUUUUGAUAAAUUUCAAGCGAGCCGUUCUUAUUAACCGUCGCCGAUAUCAACAAAGGAUGCAACGACGACAGUCAUUAAUGCGUUUUACUUUUAUUCAACACUUAAUGGAACUAGAAACACAUAUUUUUGAACUCUUUCCAAUCCAUCAAUUAAAUGGUGUUCAGAAAACAAAACAAUCCUGAAAUUGAACAAAUUACAUGUAUCAAACGACAUAUAGCCGCCAAUGUUAUGAGGAUAUAAUCGGGUGAGGGAUUAAGGCUGGUUAAAUUUGGACUUCAUAAACUCAUGGAAUACAAAAUGCUUAUAUGCAGAUAAUACUAAAUAUUUAGUUAAAAUAUUUUCGUGAAACCACUUGUAAGCUUAUUAAACUUUUGGCUCAUGGAAUGUAAAAGAGGUGUAAAAAUUGUGAUAGACCAUUAAUUCCCACAGAACUUUACAUUCCAAUAAAGCAUAAACCAGAUUUCUAAUGUAAAGUUAUUUAAUAAUUAUAAUAGCUACGUAGCAUUUAAUAAAGAAUGUUCUAAAAAACGA